rnacentral:rRNA from 1 species
AACAGAUUUACUUCGGUAAUGACGUUAGGAAAGCGAGCGGCGGAUGGGUGAGUAACACGUGGGGAACCUGCCCCAUAGUCUGGGACACCACUUGGAAACAGGUGCUAAUACCGGAUAAGAAAGCAGAUCGCAUGAUCAGCUUUUAAAAGGCGGCGUAAGCUGUCGCUAUGGGAUGGCCCCGCGGUGCAUUAGCUAGUUGGUAAGGUAAAGGCUUACCAAGGCGAUGAUGCAUAGCCGAGUUGAGAGACUGAUCGGCCACAUUGGGACUGAGACACGGCCCAAACUCCUACGGGAGGCAGCAGUAGGGAAUCUUCCACAAUGGACGCAAGUCGGAUGGAGCAACGCCGCGUGAGUGAAGAAGGUUUUCGGAUCGUAAAGCUCUGUUGUUGGUGAA